AUGACUUUGAUCUGCGUCCUCAUCUGGACUCUCCUCUGCUGCUGUUUCACAGAGUCCAGAGGACAGUACACUCUGACUCAGCCUGGAGCAAUGAGCUCUGCUCCGGGAGGCUCCGUCUCCAUCAACUGUAGGACCAGUCAGGAUGUUCAUGGGAGCUGUUUAACCUGGUACCAACAGAGAGAUGGAGAAACUCCUAAACUGCUCAUUUACUCUGCUAGCACUCGUCAGUCAGGGAUUCCAGGUCGUUUUACAGGCAGUGGAUCAAACUCUGACUUCACUCUGACCAUCAGUGGAGUUCAGACUGAAGAUGCAGCAGUUUACUACUGUCAGAGUGCUCACUAUCCCAACAGUCAGUGGGUGGGCACACAGUGA